rnacentral:rRNA from 1 species
AACGAACGCUGGCGGCAGGCUUAACACAUGCAAGUCGAACGCCCCGCAAGGGGAGUGGCAGACGGGUGAGUAACGCGUGGGAACGUACCUUUCAGUUCGGAAUAACUCAGGGAAACUUGUGCUAAUACCGGAUACGCUCGCAAGAGGAAAGAUUUAUCGCUGAAAGAUCGGCCCGCGUUGGAUUAGCUAGUUGGUGGGGUAAUGGCCUACCAAGGCGACGAUCCAUAGCUGGUCUGAGAGGAUGAUCAGCCACACUGGGACUGAGACACGGCCCAGACUCCUACGGGAGGCAGCAGUGGGGAAUAUUGGACAAUGGGCGAAAGCCUGAUCCAGCCAUGCCGCGUGAGUGAUGAAGGCCCUAGGGUUGUAAAGCUCUUUCACCGAUGAAGAUAAUGACGGUAGUCGGAGAAGAAGCCCCGGCUAACUUCGUGCCAGCCGCCGCAGUAAGAC